CUCCGCAACCUGGUGGUGUCCAUCUGCAUCAUGUUCAUCAACAAAAGGAUCCCUAACAUGAACCUGACCCUGGGGCAUCUUGUGGUCACCUGGCUGCGCUUGCACAUCUGUCAGAAAUUGGUUAUAUUUGCCUCAACAUGUCUGCCACCCCAAGAUCCUCCUUCUGGCCUUUAGCUUCUGUGAUUACAAGGUCUUCACCAACUUCUCUCUGCAGGGCAACUCCACAGGCGUCCAUCAGCUGAUCAAGGUCAUCAUUACACUGGUGAUUAUGGCCAUGCAGACCCUCUGCUACCAGAAGGCCUUCUUCACCAGAAUAUAACACAACACUGAUUCCUGUAACUUUAGGUGUAAUCCUAAAUUCUUAUUACAAUGUGAAAUGUAAUGUCCUUGGAAGGAUGUUUUCUGCUCUCAGUGUUUUAGUUAUACCCCCUUAUCCAGUGUGGGCAGAAACCAAGCAGAAUGAGUUUCAAGUAAACUCAAUGCUGCUGCAGCACUAUCAAGCACCAAUACCUUCUGCUGUUAUUGGUUGCUUCUCUGAGUCAGUGCAUGGAGAGCAAGAAAUAUCUAGUCUCUGGUCAGCUUCUGCUUUGCCUAUGGUGCAGCUAUCUGAAAUAAUGGUUGUCAUGGUGAACUUAUCAAUUCACUGGGUCACUAGGUACACUUCAUCAGUCACCUAUGACAUGUUUGGGCACUUCAAGUUCUGACUUGCUUUAUUUGGAGGACAUGUGUUAUUUAAAGAUCCACUGUUAAUUAACCAGAGUCUUGGCAUUUUAUGUAGUUAUUUGGUGUAAGAAUAAGAGCUUAUAUUCAUUCUGUACUCUAUAAACAGGAAGGAAGAAAAUGUAAAUUGCUACAAAG
rnacentral:lncRNA from 1 species